CAAGUUUUGAGAUGUGCCCCCUUUCAUCAUAUCAAAAGUUGAUAAGAGUUAGACAGUGCAAUCUCCAUAAACUAUAAGAGUUAAUGUGUUCUUCCACUGAGCUGUGUACAAAUCAUGCUUGCAGGAAGUCCAGGCUCGUGGGUCUUUUGUUAACAUGUGAUAUCACAGGUCACAUCGUCUAUAGGUAUCCAAUGCAUUCAUGCUUGUUCAUGUGAUGACCGAGCCAUAAUCACAGCUGAACAUUCUAAAACGCGCUUUUUUUUAUGACCACUUAGGGUUGGAAAGGAAUGGGAGGUCCUCCACUUUUUUUGGACAGAAUGCCCCGAACAGAUAACCACAGUGUUAAUUUAAUAUAAAAUAAGCUAUGACUAGUUCACUACUGUUUGUAAACUUGCUUAUCACCAAACUACAAUUCUACCAAAUCUGCUACAUUACAAUUCUACAUAUCAAUUAUAUAAAAUGCAGCCUUUUGGUAAAAUUUUCGUAAAAUAUAAUAUUUGCAUGAUACACACGUGUGAUCAAUAGGCUAAUUUAAUGCAGAACAUACUAACAAUGGGGUCAACUGAACAACAGCGACUGAGACUCUACUAUUUGACUACCCUGAAAAUUUGUGUACUUUAAAAAAAGGGGGCAAUUUCUUUGCUGAAAAAGGACACUUAAGAUGGAAAAUGAAUUGUGACCAUGGACAAAAUAUCAUGGGGGCACCAAGGCAAACAUUGGGGCAACAGAGGCAAAUAAUACAGCACCAAAACAAAAAAAUUGAAUGGGAUCAACAUUGUGCCAUCUGUAGUCAGUUCUUUUCUAAUUGUGCCAUGGAAAGCAAUCUUGUUUUGCUUUGUACAUGAUAUGAACUGCAAUGAGACUACCUUGUGUAAAUGUUCAUCAAUAAUGUUAAGACCUUUGUUGCAUGUAGGUUUAAAUCGUUCUGUUAUGAAUGCACUUGUCGAAAUAUCUAGACAGGGAAAUACAUUUACAUGUACAUGUAUAGUAUUGUCCAAUAGGACGAUGGGUAUUUCAUGAUGGGAUCCAGACAAUAGGUACUAGGUACACUGGGUACUAGGUACACUGGGCACUAGGUACACUGGGCACUAGGUACACUGGCACUAGGUACACUGGUUACUAGGUACACUGGGUACUAGGUACACUGGGUACUAGGUACACUGGGCACUAGGUACAAUGGGUACUAGGUACACUGGGUACUAGGUACACUGGGCACUAGGUACACUGGGCACUAGGUACAAUGGGUACUAGGUACACUGGGUACUAGGUACACUGGGUACUAAGUACACUGGGUACUAGGUACACUGGGUACUAGGCACACUGGGUACUAGGUACACUGGGUACUAGGUACACUGGGUACUAGGUACACUGGGCACUAGGUACACUGGGCACUAGGUACAAUGGGUACUAGGUACACUGGGUACUAGGUACACUGGGUACUAAGUACACUGGGUAUUAGGUACACUGUGUACUAGGUACACUGGGUACUAGUUACACUGGGUACUAGGUACACUGGGUACUAGGUACACUGGGUACUAGGUACACUGGGUACUAAGUACACUGGGUACUAGGUACACUGGGUAUUAAGUACACUGGGUACUAGGUACACUGGGUACUAAGUACACUGGGUACUAGGUACACUGGGUACUAGGUACACUGGGUACUAGGUACACUGGGUACUAGGUACACUGGGUACUAGGUACACUGGGUAUUAGGUACACUGGGUACUAGGUACACUUGGUACUAGGUACAAUGGGUAUUAGGUACUAAGUAAUGCGAUACCUUUACUAAGUACUAUGUAAUAACUAAUGAGAACUAAAAAGUACAAGAUAGACAAUGCUACGUACUGGCUGUAAACAUCUACGUCUUCAACAACAUGACUUUAGAAUCAAGCUCUAAAAAUGGCAGACUAUUCACAUACAGUUGAUAGGGAAUUAUUCCCAAGGCGUAUAUUGCAUUGAUUUUCAUUUCAAUUUCAUAUUCAUGUCAUGCCUUUGACAUCAGUGUUUCCCCUGGCUGAUGACCUGAGUGAGGUCGUCAGAAUUCAAACUGACAAUUGAAGCAAAUUUCACAUGGCUGCUUAAGCACAAAAACAGCCUAGCACAACAAAAUAAGGGUACUGGCCAAAUUACCAUGCCACGUGAAAAUUCAUUCAGGAAUAUUUUCUGCUUAAGCAGCUCUGUGAAAUUUAGCCCAGGGCCCAAUUUUACAGAGCUGCUUGAGCAAAAAAAGCAGCUGAGCCGAGUAACAAAGUUGUGCUUACCAUAAUAAGGUUACCUGCCAAAUUAGCAUGCCAUGUGUUCAGUUUGUGACUGGUAUCUCAGAAUGCAGCGCUGCAAACCAAACCAGAAUAAUCUGGACCCAAUUUCAUAAAGUCUGCAAGCACAAAUCUUGCUUAGCACAAAAUACUUUUGCUUAGCAAAAAUAGGCUGGUCCUCAACACCAUACAGUUACCAUUGCUGUGACUGGUACCUCGGUCAUUUCUUGAUUAGCCUAGAAAUUUGCUAAGCAGAAUUGUUCUGCUUAACUGGGCCCUAGCGAUAAUCCCCCCAAAAACCCCAAGUCCCAUUAUGUUUAGUAUUAAACCUUUCAAUUUCUACACGAUCACAAAAAAUGCACAAUUACAAAUUCCCCUCACAAUCAGUAUACAAUUACAUUAUAAUUAAAUCUUAAUAUUCAAAUAUUUCAGGACAAGUGAGGUUCCAAAAUGUCGGUCCAUGCAAAACAAAUGGUGAUGCUCUUAAGAAACAGAUCACAUAUUUCCACAAGGAUCAUCUCAUAACCUUCUUUAGAUGGCAAAAGUAAAAAGUUGCUUUUGGAACCUUGUCAGGAGAUAAAAAGCCAACAAUAACGCAAUGGUAACUUGCUCUAUAGACCUGCCUCCAUCUUGAUCAUGUUCCUCGUAUUGAAUAUACAACAAUGAAUGCUAAUAAUCAUUUUGAAAAUUGGAACCAGACUAUUUUGUUCUUCCAGCCUCGGUUUGGUAACACUGAUAUCAAUGGGAGAAAUUCUUAAUGGCUGCACCGUGAUAAAGGUCUAUUGAAGAGGACUUGCAAGCUUUGAGGUUGUUUCAAAUGCAAAGUCAACCCUCUCACUCUAGUUGCAAUAAAUCCUGGACCAUCCCGUUCGUUAACAGCAAUCACCAUUGGUUUCUAACAUGGACUCACAUCUUGUAGGUCAUACACUAAAGUGAUAAUGACAAGUAAAAGUUCUCUAAAUAGUUUCUUAAAAAGCUGGUGGUCUGCACGAAAUUUGACUGCACUCAAAAUGUGCAAAGGCACUUUCCGGAUGUACGCUUUAAAAUUGUGGUGAAUUAUACAAAGGUAUGCUUUAGUACGUCGGUGAAUUAUACAAAGAUGUCACACUUUUGGAUACAAAAAUAGGCCACAGAAUUACAUACAAAGUUUUUAACACUCACAAAAAAGUGACUUCAUUAAAACCAGCCAUAUAUUAUGCAUUGAGUUUUGGGUCUUUUCCAAACAUCGUUUUCAACUCAGGCUUGAGGCUAAACCACUGUGAAUGUUCGCUCUUACUAAAAGUGUCAAUGAGUUCUAACCCAUUAGCCAGAGCUUGUAAGAGCUGGCCAGAGACUGCUGUUUUGAAAAGGCCCAAAGGUAAAGAGAGAAA